AACGCACCUUGCGCCCUUUGGUAUUCCGAAGGGCAUGCCUGUUUGAGUGUCUUUAAUAUCUAUCAACCAUUUUGUGUGCUUGCAUGCAGCUUGGCUUGGAUGUGAGGGUUAUUGCUGGCUUUCGUGGUCUGCUCCCUUCAAAUGCAUUAGUGGAAUCUUCCUGCAGCCGGUCUUUCCGUGUGAUAUACCUUUACGCGGUCUGUACUUGUGGGGAGGCCUGCUCAUAACCGUCCGAAAGGACAAUUUUCUUAAGACAUUGACCUCAAAUCAGGUAGGACUACCCGCUGAACUUAA
rnacentral:misc_RNA from 1 species